rnacentral:rRNA from 1 species
GGCUUAACACAUGCAAGUCGAGGGGCAGCAUGGUCUUAGCUUGCUAAGGCCGAUGGCGACCGGCGCACGGGUGAGUAACACGUAUCCAACCUGCCGUCUACUCUUGGACAGCCUUCUGAAAGGAAGAUUAAUACAAGAUGGCAUCAUGAGUCCGCAUGUUCACAUGAUUAAAGGUAUUCCGGUAGACGAUGGGGAUGCGUUCCAUUAGAUAGUAGGCGGGGUAACGGCCCACCUAGUCUUCGAUGGAUAGGGGUUCUGAGAGGAAGGUCCCCCACAUUGGAACUGAGACACGGUCCAAACUCCUACGGGAGGCAGCAGUGAGGAAUAUUGGUCAAUGGGCGAGAGCCUGAACCAGCCAGGUAGCGUGAAGGAUGACUGCCCUAUGGGUUGUAAACUUCUUUUAUAAAGGAAUAAAGUCGGGUAUGCAUACCCGUUUGCAUGUACUUUAUGAAUAAGGAUCGGCUAACUCCGUGCCAGCAGCCGCGGUAAUACGGAGGAUCCGAGCGUUAUCCGGAUUUAUUGGGUUUAAAAGGAGCGUAGAUGGAUGUUUAAGUCAGUUGUGAAAGUUUGCGGCUCAACCGUAAAAUUGCAGUUGAUACUGGAUAUCUUGAGUGCAGUUGAGGCAGGCGGAAUUCGUGGUGUAGCGGUGAAAUGCUUAGAUAUCACGAAGAACUCCGAUUGCGAAGGCAGCCUGCUAAGCUGCAACUGACAUUGAGGCUCGAAAGUGUGGGUAUCAAACAGGAUUAGAUACCCUGGUAGUCCACACGGUAAACGAUGAAUACUCGCUGUUUGCGAUAUACAGCAAGCGGCCAAGCGAAAGCGUUAAGUAUUCCACCUGGGGAGUACGCCGGCAACGGUGAAACUCAAAGGAAUUGACGGGGGCCCGCACAAGCGGAGGAACAUGUGGUUUAAUUCGAUGAUACGCGAGGAACCUUACCCGGGCUUAAAUUGCAGAUGAAUUACGGUGAAAGCCGUAAGCCGCAAGGCAUCUGUGAAGGUGUUGCAUGGUUGUCGUCAGCUCGUGCCGUGAGGUGUCGGCUUAAGUGCCAUAACGAGCGCAACCCUUGUUGUCAGUUACUAACAGGUUCCGCUGAGGACUCUGACAAGACUGCCAUCGUAAGAUGUGAGGAAGGUGGGGAUGACGUCAAAUCAGCACGGCCCUUACGUCCGGGGCUACACACGUGUUACAAUGGGGGGGUACAGAGGGCCGCUACCACGCGAGUGGAUGCCAAUCCCAAAAACCUCUCUCAGUUCGGACUGGAGUCUGCAACCCGACUCCACGAAGCUGGAUUCGCUAGUAAUCGCGCAUCAGCCACGGCGCGGUGAAUACGUUCCCGGGCCUUGUACACACCGCCCGUCAAGCCAUGGGAGCCGGGGGUACCUGAAGUGCGUAACCGCGAGGAGCGCCCUAGGGUAAAACUGGUGACUGGGGCUAAGUCGUA